CUGGCUCAGGACGAACGCUGGCGGCGUGCCUAAUACAUGCAAGUCGAGCGAGCGGAACUAACAGAUUUACUUCGGUAAUGACGUUAGGAAAGCGAGCGGCGGAUGGGUGAGUAACACGUGGGGAACCUGCCCCAUAGUCUGGGAUACCACUUGGAAACAGGUGCUAAUACCGGAUAAGAAAGCAGAUCGCAUGAUCAGCUUUUAAAAGGCGGCGUAAGCUGUCGCUAUGGGAUGGCCCCGCGGUGCAUUAGCUAGUUGGUAAGGUAAAGGCUUACCAAGGCGAUGAUGCAUAGCCGAGUUGAGAGACUGAUCGGCCACAUUGGGACUGAGACACGGCCCAAACUCCUACGGGAGGCAGCAGUAGGGAAUCUUCCACAAUGGACGCAAGUCUGAUGGAGCAACGCCGCGUGAGUGAAGAAGGUUUUCGGAUCGUAAAGCUCUGUUGUUGGUGAAGAAGGAUAGAGGUAGUAACUGGCCUUUAUUUGACGGUAAUCAACCAGAAAGUCACGGCUAACUACGUGCCAGCAGCCGCGGUAAUACGUAGGUGGCAAGCGUUGUCCGGAUUUAUUGGGCGUAAAGCGAGCGCAGGCGGAAGAAUAAGUCUGAUGUGAAAGCCCUCGGCUUAACCGAGGAACUGCAUCGGAAACUGUUUUUCUUGAGUGCAGAAGAGGAGAGUGGAACUCCAUGUGUAGCGGUGGAAUGCGUAGAUAUAUGGAAGAACACCAGUGGCGAAGGCGGCUCUCUGGUCUGCAACUGACGCUGAGGCUCGAAAGCAUGGGUAGCGAACAGGAUUAGAUACCCUGGUAGUCCAUGCCGUAAACGAUGAGUGCUAAGUGUUGGGAGGUUUCCGCCUCUCAGUGCUGCAGCUAACGCAUUAAGCACUCCGCCUGGGGAGUACGACCGCAAGGUUGAAACUCAAAGGAAUUGACGGGGGCCCGCACAAGCGGUGGAGCAUGUGGUUUAAUUCGAAGCAACGCGAAGAACCUUACCAGGUCUUGACAUCUAGUGCCAUUUGUAGAGAUACAAAGUUCCCUUCGGGGACGCUAAGACAGGUGGUGCAUGGCUGUCGUCAGCUCGUGUCGUGAGAUGUUGGGUUAAGUCCCGCAACGAGCGCAACCCUUGUUAUUAGUUGCCAGCAUUAAGUUGGGCACUCUAAUGAGACUGCCGGUGACAAACCGGAGGAAGGUGGGGAUGACGUCAAGUCAUCAUGCCCCUUAUGACCUGGGCUACACACGUGCUACAAUGGGCAGUACAACGAGAAGCGAGCCUGCGAAGGCAAGCGAAUCUCUGAAAGCUGUUCUCAGUUCGGACUGCAGUCUGCAACUCGACUGCACGAAGCUGGAAUCGCUAGUAAUCGCGGAUCAGCACGCCGCGGUGAAUACGUUCCCGGGCCUUGUACACACCGCCCGUCACACCAUGGGAGUCUGCAAUGCCCAAAGCCGGUGGCCUAACCUUCGGGAAGGAGCCGUCUAAGGCAGGGCAGAUGACUGGGGUGAAGUCGUA
rnacentral:rRNA from 2 species